GCGGGACAUCACUGCGGCUGGUGAUACGCUGAUGGCUCUGUGACGUUACCGACCCCAGGAAGCAGCAAGAGGAUCGCAGCAGAGGAACAUGAGGCCAGUACUGGAGAAACGGGGGAAUGUAGGAAGACGCAGCAUAUUAGUCCAUCAUGGUUUGUCCAUCUGCAAUUCCCUCCUUGAUGUCACUUCGGCAAGGUGUUCAGAAGUCAGACCCAAAAUUGACAUCCUGUACUGGCCAAUAAGCAGUGGAAGAUUUAAAGAGUCAGACUGGUGAUCACAUGACCAAGUUAAUGAAAAGCAUAGAUGCAGCUGUUUGGGAAUAAAACAAAGUCUGUUGUAAGAUUACUCAUACUGAAUGUGCAUGAUGGGGGCAAAAAAAAGAAAACGAAAACCUGCAUGUAGAGUAGUGAAGAUGGUUUCUGAUGCAGCAAGCUAUCUUCAAGCCAGGGUGGGUUUGAUGAGAGAGGAGAACAGAGACUGUUUUGUUAACCUUUCUGGUUUGUUACUACUGUUUCUACUGUAUUUAUUGUUUUAACUUUAGUGAACCUUUAAAUCCUGUUGCUAAGGGAUUCUAGUUGUAUGACAGACACGGUGCCAAUGGGGAUUCUUUGUUAUUAAGACCUCAAAAAACUUUCCUACACAGCAAACCCACCGUACUAUCUAUAAAUAUUUGGAGUUCUUUUAUGCAUAUUGUACUCACUUCCCUGGAUUUCAGCUUCAUAGAUUUCAUCCUGCUUUCUCUCCCUCUGUUCUGUACUAUCAAUCUUGUUAUACAGCACUGCACAAGUAGCUGGAGCCAGAACAGUCGCUGCCUGCUGGGAGGACAUUGUGCUUAUCCUCCCCUCUAUAUUCUCCUAAAUAAUCUAAGACACUGUAAUUAUAUAGUCAGGGAGGCUGAACUGUCAUC